ensembl:ncRNA lncRNA:CR44488 long non-coding RNA:CR44488
AUCUUUCGGGAGAGGUCACAGUUAGACAUUAAUGAACACAUGUUCGCAAGACAUUAAAAUUAAAUGUACCGCUCAUUAAAAUUUGAAACAUUCCAAAGGGACCGGCCUGCAAGUUUCGAGGCAAAUGUAGCUUGACAUACGCAAUUUGAUGGGUUGAAAAGGAUUUUCCACCGACUUUCCCCCGCCUUGCUCGUCAUGCAUCAUAUCACAAUAAUAACGAAGCAUUUAAUUUUAAGUGUGAGGAAAAGGGUCCUGGUUCCAGGACUACGUUUUCAUCAGCAUCAUCAUCGUCAUCCGUAGCAUCGGCAUCGGUAAAGUCCGAGUGAUGGCUGGCUCGGAUGCAGGAGGUUCAGGAGAAGAUGACCUCCAGGGCAGGCAUAUAAAACAAAACCGACAGAUUGCUGGAGUGCGAAAAGGACACAACGAAAGGGACACCCGCCGAGUGACCGACUGACUGACAUGGAGAUUGUCCAGGACAUGGGACAUCCUCGGAAACAAGUUCAAUUCAAUUUUUCGGCCAUGUUUUUGUCAUUUCCAUAUAUGCAAAUGAAUAUGUUGAAAACCGGAAAAUCAGCCGAGGGGCGGUGGCGAAUUCCGGUCGAAGGAAAGGGUUUCAGGGAUGCGAGUCAGUCCCGUGG